rnacentral:rRNA from 1 species
GAUGAACGCUGGCGGUAUGCCUAACACAUGCAAGUCGUACGAGAGUUUUUAACUCUAGUGGCGACGGAUGAGUAACACGUGAGAAUUUGCCUUCAGGAGGGGGACAACAAUUGGAAACGAAUGCUAAUACCCCAUAUGCUUUCGAGUGAAAUGGAUUUUAUCCGCCUAGAGAGAAGCUCGCGGCUGAUUAGCUUGUUGGUAAGGUAAGAGCUUACCAAGGCGACGAUCAGUAUCUGGUUUGAGAGGACGAUCAGACACACUGGAACUGAGACACGGUCCAGACUCCUACGGGAGGCAGCAGUGGGGAAUUUUCCGCAAUGGGCGAAAGCCUGACGGAGCAAUACCGCGUGAGGGAAGAAUGCCUAUGGGUUGUAAACCUCUUUUUUCAGGGAGGAAUAAAAUGACGUGUACCUGAAGAAUAAGCAUCGGCUAACUCCGUG